GAAUGUCUACUAAUGUUUCUUCUUAAAUAUUCAGAGUAGGACACUUUCUAGGAGUUGCAGCAUCAUGGACUCUGCAGUAUUCAGAGGCCAGAACCUUGUUUUGUCUACUUAUGUUUCUUCUUUGAGAUUCGCCAAUUCUUAGUACAAGUGAAGCAUCUUCGGAAUGCAUCCUUUGUUUAAGUUAAUGGUAUAUGAUGCAAACUAAAGAAGAGGGUGGUGAAAUCAAAACACAAAAACAAGUGAAAUUGCAUCACUAGUUUUCGCUUCUGUGGAAGCAGGGGACUUGUGCCACCGUAUUUUUCUCUUCAACUAGAGAAUGGAUUGUUUCUGCAGGCUGCACUGUUGAUCUGUAAUGUUAGAGUUAAUGUUGCUGAUGUGCCGCAUAAUUUGGAUCUCAAAUGCCGAUUGCUCGAACUAUUAGUCAAUAUUGUCUUUUAUGUAGUUAUAUGAGAUUGUUGUAUCUGUAUAAAUAAGGGCAC